GGGCAGGCAAAUCAAUCUGCAGUUCUAUUGCAGAUGCGGCCGUUUCUUUAAAAAAUGCUUUAGCGUUUUCAGCGGACGUUGCAUCGGCGUCAAGAUUUCCUGCCAAUAUUCACAUUGUAUCUUCCAUGUCUCCACUGAGCACUUUCCGUCCCUGAUACAUAUGGGGUGGUUUUACGGUGCUAAAUAAUCGCUCCAAAAGCCGCCAAGAGAAAUACGUACUAUAUUUCUCCAUGUAUUCCAGAUCUUUAUCACAGUACCUGAUGCAAAAACUAACUUGGUUGGACCGAGAAAUAUCAGACGUUUCAUCGAUGAUAACGGAGUACAGUACACCUGAACAAAGUUUGACAGCGGGGUAGAUAAAAAAGUGAAACAUUUUUUCUUUACGUAAGCUGCUGCUACCGCGGCCUUGUCCGGGAACAGUUUACUCGAAUGACCAAAAUCGCCGACGACUGCUCCUGCUGCAAACAGCUCUGCAAUCCUUUUCUCACACUGAAGCGCUGCUGAUUUUGAUUUAAUUAUUCCAAGCGCGAUUCGAAGUUGCAACAACUUUUCGGGUGUUCAUCUUCGACUAGACAGCUCUGC